AUUAAUAGCUAUAUACUUUAAACUUGAAGAAUUUGGCGGUAGCUAAUCUUAUUAGAGGAACCUGUUUUUGAAUCGAUAAACCACGUAAAAUUUUACUUGUUUUAUUUAGUUUGUAUACCGUCAUUAUCAGAUGAUUUUUAAAAAAUAAAUUAUUAAAUACUAUAAAGUAGAUUAAAUUAGAUCAAGGUGCAGCUUAUAAAUAAGUUAAAAUGGGUUACAAUAAAUUGUAUUUACUACGGAGUUAUUACUAAGUGAUGAAAUAAAUUAUGAAGGAGGAUUUAAUUGUAAUGUAGAUUUAAUAAGUCUAAAAGAUAUAAGCUCUGAGCUAU
rnacentral:rRNA from 1 species